CGAUAUAAAAUCACAACUUGGUAUGGCCCUCACCAAACCCCUUGACAAUUCAAUCGGGCUCUUCUCUGGUCUUUUAAACAACAAAUUCCUGUCUGGAAUCAAUCAACCAACGUGCGUUUAAAGUGAAUCCCAUUUCAACCUUUUAAUAAAGUACCACCAGGGGAUCUGCAAGUUAGGGAAAGCCGCUUAGCAGCAAAAAGAAAACUGUGUGGGUCACAAGCCACUCAUCACUGCCUGGGGGCACAAAAGAGGAAAGGAAAGGAUAAGAAGCUGAGUAAAACGGACCUCAGGAAGAGCAAGCAUGGAAAACUGGACUUUAAGUACCUGGGACAAAAGGCAAGGAGCCUGCACUCCCCAGCCAAAGAACCCACGUACAGUGGGUAUGAAGACAUGGAUCCCAGGGUUGUUAAGAAGACAAAAAGGCCACCUUGCCUGACAUCCACAGAUUCUGGAAUCUGUAGGGGAGACGGAGGCGUGGAACUUUAUUCUCUCCAGUGUUAAUUUCGAUCACCACUUCAAAGGGAAAAGCUAACUAGAGAACCAACUGGUCUUUUUUGUUUUAGAUUCUGGGCUUUGCUGGGACUACCUACUCACAGUGAGAAUCCCCAGACUAAGGGGGUGGGGGAGGACGGGUGAGCUGUGAGGGGUGUUCCAGGAAAUUAAUCAAAUACACAUAAAAAAAAGUCAA